rnacentral:rRNA from 1 species
GAUGAACGCUGGCGGCAGGCCUAACACAUGCAAGUCGAGCGCGCGGCGGACGGGUGAGUAAUGUCUGGGAAACUGCCUGAUGGAGGGGGAUAACUACUGGAAACGGUAGCUAAUACCGCAUACCAUCAGAUGUGCCCAGAUGGGAUUAGCUAGUAGGUGGGGUAACGGCUCGCCUAGGCGACGAUCCCUAGCUGGUCUGAGAGGAGGACCAGCCAAACUGGAACUGAGACACGUUCCAGACUCCUACGGGAGGCAGCAUUGGGGAAUAUUGCACAAUGGGCGAAAGCCUGAUGCAGCCAUGCCGCGUGUAUGAAGAAGGCCUUCGGUUUGUAAAGUACUGUCAGCGGGGAGGCGUUACCCGCAGAAGAAGCACCGGCUAACUCCGUGCCAGCAGCCGCGGUAAUUC